rnacentral:rRNA from 1 species
GGAGUCUGGUCCGUGUCUCAGUACCAGUGUGGGGGACCUUCCUCUCAGAACCCCUACGCAUCGUCGCCUUGGUGGGCCGUUACCCCGCCAACCAGCUAAUGCGCCGCAUGCCCAUCCCGGACCGACGGAUCUUUCACCCUAAGGACAUGCGUCCUCAGGGCAUAUGGGGUAUUAGACCCAGUUUCCCGGGUUUAUCCCCCUGUCCGGGGCAGGUCGCAUACGUGUUACUCACCAGUGCGCCGGUCGUCGCCCAGCAAAAGCAAGCUUUCGCUGUCGUUACCCCUCGACUUGCAUGUGUUAAGCCUGUAGCUAGCGUUCAUC